AAUCCCUCUCCCAGCGCUAGAUUGGCUCCAAAUUAAUUUAUUUGUGGAAAAUAAAAAAUCUUCAACCUGGGUGGCGAUUUGGAAGCAGAUUCUAGCCGUGUGUUGUCGAUUUGGAAGCAGCUUUAUGUGAUUGGCAAUGAUAUUUCUCAAUUUGUGGGGCCUCUUAUCUUGAAUCAACUUCUACAGGUUUUGGUGAUGGU